GAUCAUUACUGAGAGGUUUACCUGACCAGGUCUAGGACGCAAGUCCUUUUUCUGGUUUACCUCACGGUUAUGUGCAAUGUUGGGUCACCUUGGUUGACUCUGCCUUGCGCAUAGUGCCUUACUUGGUGUACUCACCUAGGAGUAGUCCUAGUACUUUUUGUACUGGGAACGAAA
rnacentral:rRNA from 1 species